AGCGAACGCUGGCGGCAGGCCUAACACAUGCAAGUCGAACGGCAGCACAGUAAGAGCUUGCUCUUCCGGGUGGCGAGUGGCGGACGGGUGAGGAAUACAUCGGAAUCUACUUUUUCGGGGGGGAUAACGUAGGGAAACUUACGCUAAUACAGCAUACGACCUACGGGUGAAAGCAGGGGAUCUUCGGACCUUGCGCGAUUGAACGAGCCGAUGUCGGAUUAGCUAGUUGGCGGGGUAAAGGCCCACCAAGGCGACGAUCCGUAGCUGGUCUGAUAGGAUGGUCAGCCGCACUGGAACGUGGACACGGUCCAGGCUCCUACGGGAGGCAGCAGUGGGGAAUAUUGGACAAUAGGCGGAAGCCUGAUCCAGCCAUACCGCGUGGGUGAAAAAGGCCUUCGGGUUGUAAAGCCCUUUUGUUGGGAAAGAAAAGCAUCAGGUUAAUACCCCGCUGUUCUGACGGUACCCAAAGAAUAAGCACCGGCUAACUUCGUG
rnacentral:rRNA from 1 species